GCCUGGGUGGCUCACUUGGUUAAGCGUCUGACUUCAGUUCAGGUCAUGAUCUCACGGUUCAUGGGUUCAAGCCCCGUGUCAGGCU
rnacentral:tRNA from 1 species